AACAAACCGGUGAUGGUGGAGUAAAGUCAGCAGCGCAUUUAAAGCGAGUUGGGGAUGGUGAGAGCCAAACAGGAAGCGGACUGGCAUAAUGGGCACCUGAGGGUGUGAGGAAAGGGCAGGGCCUGAGUAUUUCACAACGUUUCAUCCACGUUAAGGGAUGGCAGAUGUGAUGGCAUUUGCAGAUCAAGUGCACAGGUUAGAUUAGCCUGUGAAUAAAGGUGGUACCGUGGGUUAUUUUGACUCAUCCUUUUA
rnacentral:ncRNA from 1 species